rnacentral:rRNA from 1 species
GAUGAACGCUAGCGAUAGGCUUAACACAUGCAAGUCGAGGGGCAGCAUGGUCUUAGCUUGCUAAGGCUGAUGGCGACCGGCGCACGGGUGCGUAACGCGUAUGCAACUUGCCUCACAGAGGGGUAUAACCCGUCGAAAGACGGACUAAUACCGCGUACACUCUAUGUUGGGCAUCCAAUGUAGAGGAAAUGAAUUUCGCUGUGAGAUAGGCAUGCGUCCCAUUAGCUAGUUGGUGAGGUAACGGCUCACCAGGGCGACGAUGGGUAGGGGAACGGAGAGGGUGCGCCCCGACAGGGGGACUGGGAAACGGGCGAGAGUCCUACGGGACGCAGCAGUGAGGAAUACAGGUCAAUGGACGAGUGCCUGAUCCAGCCAAGUCGGGUGAAGGAUGGCUGUGUUAGGGAUGGUAACCUUCUGGUAGACGAGAAUAACAGGAGUCACGGGUGGGUCACUGAAUGUACCGGAUGAAUAAGCAUCGGCUAACUACGUG